rnacentral:rRNA from 1 species
UACGGAGGGAGCUAGCGUUGUUCGGAAUUACUGGGCGUAAAGCGCGCGUAGGCGGUUUUUCAAGUCAGUGGUGAAAGCCCGGGGCUCAACCCCGGAAUAGCCUUUGAAACUGGAAAACUAGAAUCUUGGAGAGGUCAGUGGAAUUCCGAGUGUAGAGGUGAAAUUCGUAGAUAUUGGGAAGAACACCGGUGGCGAAGGCGGCUAUCUGGACCGACAUUGACGCUGAGGCGCGAAAGCGUGGGGAGCAAACAGG